AAAAUAUGGUAAGUUAGUCAGCGA
rnacentral:miRNA from 1 species